UUUUCGGACAACGGAUGUAGAGGAAAGUGGCGGACGGGUGAGUAACGCGUGAGGAACCUGCCUUGAAGAGGGGGAUAACGGCUGGAAACGGUCGCUAAUACCGCAUGAUGUGUUCGGAUGGCAUCAUCUGAACAUCAAAGAUUUAUCGCUGAAAGAUGGGCUCGCGUCUGAUUAGAUAGUUGGUGGGGUAACGGCCUACCAAGUCUACGAUCAGUAGCCGGACUGAGAGGUUGAACGGCCACAUUGGGACUGAGAUACGGCCCAGACUCC
rnacentral:rRNA from 1 species